rnacentral:rRNA from 1 species
GAUGAACGCUGGCGGCGUGCCUAAUACAUGCAAGUCGAGCGAACGGACGAGAAGCUUGCUUCUCUGAUGUUAGCGGCGGACGGGUGAGUAACACGUGGAUAACCUACCUAUAAGACUGGGAUAACUUCGGGAAACCGUAGCUAAUACCGGAUAAUAUUUUGAACCGCAUGGUUCAAAAGUGAAAGACGGUCUUGCUGUCACUUAUAGAUGGAUCCGCGCUGCAUUAGCUAGUUGGUAAGGUAACGGCUUACCAAGGCAACGAUGCAUAGCCGACCUGAGAGGGUGAUCGGCCACUCUAGAACUGAGACAAGGUCCAGACUCCUACGGGAGGCAGCAGUAGGGAAUCUUCCGCAAUGGGCGAAAGCCUGACGGAGCAACGCCGCGUGAGUGAUGAAGGUCUUCGGAUCGUAAAACUCUGUUAUUAGGGAAGAACAUAUGUGUAAGUAACUGUGCACAUCUUGACGGUACCUAAUCAGAAAGCCACGGCUAACUACGUG